GACGAACGCUGGCGGCGUGCCUAACACAUGCAAGUCGAACGGGGUGUUCCUUCGGGGACACUUAGUGGCGAACGGGUGAGUAACGCGUGAGAAACCUGCCUUUCAGUGGGGGACAACAGUUGGAAACGACUGCUAAUACCGCAUAAUGUUUCGAGAGGGCAUCCUUUUGAAACCAAAGCUUUAUGUGCUGAAAGAUGGUCUCGCGUCUGAUUAGCUAGUUGGUGAGGUAACGGCUCACCAAGGCGACGAUCAGUAGCCGGUCUGAGAGGAUGAACGGCCACAUUGGGACUGAGAUACGGCCCAGACUCCUACGGGA
rnacentral:rRNA from 1 species